rnacentral:rRNA from 1 species
CACUCCUACGGGAGGCAGCAGUGGGGAAUUUUGGACAAUGGGCGAAAGCCUGAUCCAGCAAUGCCGCGUGUGUGAAGAAGGCCUUCGGGUUGUAAAGCACUUUUGUCCGGAAAGAAAUCCUUGGCUCUAAUACAGUCGGGGGAUGACGGUACCGGAAGAAUAAGCACCGGCUAACUACGUGCCAGCAGCCGCGGUAAUACGUAGGGUGCGAGCGUUAAUCGGAAUUACUGGGCGUAAAGCGUGCGCAGGCGGUUUGCUAAGACCGAUGUGAAAUCCCCGGGCUCAACCUGGGAACUGCAUUGGUGACUGGCAGGCUAGAGUAUGGCAGAGGGGGGUAGAAUUCCACGUGUAGCAGUGAAAUGCGUAGAGAUGUGGAGGAAUACCGAUGGCGAAGGCAGCCCCCUGGGCCAAUACUGACGCUCAUGCACGAAAGCGUGGGGAGCAAACAGGAUUAGAUACCCUGGUAGUCCCA